rnacentral:rRNA from 1 species
UACGUAGGGAGCAAGCGUUGUCCGGAAUCAUUGGGCGUAAAGCGCGCGUAGGUGGCUUCGUAAGUCCGUUGUGAAAGUCAAAGGCUCAACCUUUGAAAGCCGAUGGAUACUGUGGAGCUAGAGUACGGAAGAGGCGAGUGGAAUUCCUGGUGUAGCGGUGGAAUGCGCAGAUAUCAGGAGGAACACCAAUGGCGAAGGCAGCUCGCUGGGACGGUACUGACGCUGAGACGCGAAAGCGUGGGGGAGCAAACAGG